rnacentral:misc_RNA from 1 species
AAAACAAAGGAGGGAGAGAAGUGAGAACAAAAGCAUGGGAAUCAAAGAAUAAGAGAAAGAAAUCAGCCGAUGAGAAAAUGUUUGCUUUAUUAAGUAGAAGUCUUUUUCUAGACAUUGCACAUUGUUAUUGACUACAUAUCACCACAAUACGUUUGCUGGCCUAUCAAUGAGUUGGAGGCAAUCUAGAUGCAGAUAUCAUAACAUUCUUCAUUAUGUUUUCACCAUCUUUCAUCUACUUUUCUUUAAUCAUCAUCUCCCAUGUAA